rnacentral:rRNA from 1 species
UGUCGUCAGCUCGUGUUGUGAAAUGUUGGGUUAAGUCCCGCAACGAGCGCAACCCUUAUCCUUUGUUGCCAGCGGUCCGGCCGGGAACUCAAAGGAGACUGCCAGUGAUAAACUGGAGGAAGGUGGGGAUGACGUCAAGUCAUCAUGGCCCUUACGACCAGGGCUACACACGUGCUACAAUGGCGCAUACAAAGAGAAGCGACCUCGCGAGAGCAAGCGGACCUCAUAAAGUGCGUCGU